UGUUCCUCCCGUGACUCCUACAGCAUGGGUAACCAUUUAUUUUGCUGGUGUGAUAGAAGCCUUCUUCGAGCUCGGUGCGGCCAUCAUCCCUUUCUCUGCUAGGUGGGUCUAGAAAGCCAAAGAAAACUCUCACGGUCUCUCUCCCCUCACGCGAUUUCCCCUUUUUGGUUCUCUCCUCACUCACAAGCAUAGUGGCGGCGCUAGGGUUAGGGUUAACGCAGGCAGGCCACCGGCCUCCGCUGAUGUCGCGCGCCUCCACGCUGGCUCCAUCCUCCGCUGAUGCCGCACGCCUCCACGCUGGUUCCGUUCUCCGUUGAUGCCGCUCGCUUCCUCUCCGACUCCGUCCUCCCCUGAUGCCGCCGGCCAAGUCUCCUGCUCCGACCUCCGCUGAUGCCGCCCGGCUCCUCCCUGGCGCCGUCUUUCUCUGUCCUCCGCUGAUGCUGCUCACCUCCUCUCCGGCUCCGUCCAUCUCCGACCAACCUCCCUCACGGUGUAGAUGGUGAGGAUGAUGUGGUGUGAGACUGGGAGAGGGCAUGCCGGCAGCUGCAGGCAAGAACGACUUGACAAAAACAAGACCCUGGCAUGUGUUCUUGUUCAUUCAGACAACCACUAUUAGAGAUGAAGAGGACGGAGUGGAAGUAUGCAGAGGAACAUAUGCACUUGACAUCCAACUUGCCUGAGGGCAGAGAAGAAUGGUGGUCGAUCCAAUACAGUUGACUAAUCAGCUAAGUAAUUCAGUCCGUUUCUUUCUUCAAGUCUUUGAUUUGUUUCUCUUCUCCUUCUAAAUUGGAUUAUGUUUGCUGACCUCGCCCCCGUCGUAAUUGCUUAUAGAUCGGUCGACGACGAGCUGAUACCUCCAUGGCGGAAGGCGGAGGUCGAGGACGAGGACAGAGACUGACAUAGAGGUCGGAGAAGAUCGAUGUUCAAAAUUCAUAUCCGAAGUCCUAUUUUGAAAAAAAAUAGGAGUUUCGGGAUUUUUUGCAAAAAAUACUUUGUACUGCUGCUCCAACAUUUUCCCUGGGAUGGAGGGAGUACAAGAUUAAGAUGUCUAUAAAAAAACCUAAUAGCUAGAUAAUCGUCUUUAGUCAACAUCGACACCGGCCUAUUUUGCUAUGCGUUUGCUGUUUUGCGUGUGAGCUGGUUGCUGUACGUUUUCAUGUCCAGGCAUAGAUGUGUGUUUACUGUUUUGCGUGUAAGCUGCUUGCUGCAUGCUGUUAUGGACAAACUCAAUAAUUGCACAUGUUCACGGGUGUGCAAAUCUGCCUAUCAAUAAUAGAGCGUAAGAGGAUAAGAUGAAAGUUGUGAGUUCAACAAACUGUAGCACCCGUGACUACCAAUUCUAGUCACCUUCCUGCA